UGAGGAAUAUUGGUCAAUGGGCGAGAGCCUGAACCAGCCAAGUCGCGUGAAGGAAGACUGCCUUAUGGGUUGUAAACUUCUUUUAUACAGGAAUAAAAAGGCUUACGUGUAGGCCAUUGCAAGUACUGUAUGAAUAAGCAUCGGCUAACUCCGUGCCAGCAGCCGCGGUAAUACGGAGGAUGCGAGCGUUAUCCGGAUUUAUUGGGUUUAAAGGGUGCGCAGGCGGGCUUUUAAGUCAGCGGUGAAAUCUGGACGCUUAACGUCCAAACUGCCGCUGAAACUGGGAGUCUUGAGUAUGGAUGAAGUAGGCGGAAUUCGUUGUGUAGCGGUGACAUGCAUAGAUAUAACGAGGAACUCCGAUUGCGUAGGCAGCUUACUAAGCCAUAACUGACGCUCAUGCACGAAAGCGUGGGGAUCAAACAGGAUUAGAUACCCUGGUAGUCCACGCCGUAAAACGAUGAUUACUAGUUGUAUGCGAUAUGAUAGUAUGUGACUAAGCGAAAGCGAUAAGUAAUCCACCUGGGGAGUACGCCGGCAACGGU
rnacentral:rRNA from 1 species